CCAGUUGGCUAGGUAACCGCGCUUUGGUGAAAUAAUAUUUUGUUGAGGUGAGGAAAGUCCGGGCUCCACGAAAACUCGACACCGGAUAACGUCCGGCAAAGGUGACUUUAGGGAAAGUGCCACAGAAAAUAUACCGCUCUUGUAUUUGUUUAUGAGAGUAAGGGUGAAAAGGUGGGGUAAGAGCCCACCGCGUUUCUGGUAACAGGAAUGGCAGGGAAAACCCUGUCGGGAGCAAGACCAAAUAGGGAUGGUGUGGGGCAGCAAUGCCCUAGAUGUGUUUUCGGUCUAAUCAUCCGGGUAGGUUGCAUGAGGCAGCGUGUAAACGUUGUCCUAGAUGAAUGGUUACCAGUUUCCGCAAGGGAAUAUACAGAACCCGGCUUAUAGGUCGACUGGCAAA
rnacentral:RNase_P_RNA from 1 species